rnacentral:lncRNA from 1 species
CAGAGAACACAGCUCCGUAAUCUGUUGACAGGAUUAAGGACCCCUGUUGUUUUACAGGAAGUAAAUAAAUCCUUAUGGUAUUCUGGGAACCUCAGAACUAUAUGAGAGUGUGGUGUUGUGGAUCUCUCAUGGAGGUUGUACUAGGUGGAGCUGAAUAAAAGAGUCCUUCCUGCCCUGGCCCAGAAAGUGACCAUCUUCACUGAACACUGUUGCCUCCUACUGCAACGAGAAGAUAAAAGCCGCAAGAUGUGAACCACUAUUGCAUUUCUCCUCAAUAAAAUGCAAAAUAGCUUUUUACAAUCCCUUUCUGUCUCUGAAGAAGAAGGAUUCCUAUGGGCCCCCCAUCUCACUCUUACCCCUCAUCUUUUGGAAUAUCUUGCUUCCUCCAGUUUUGCAUACACUCCCAGGGUUUCCUUUUCUAAUGGAAACUUUC